rnacentral:rRNA from 1 species
UACGGAGGGGGGCUAGCGUUGUUCGGAAUUACUGGGGCGUAAAGCGCACGUAGGCGGCUUUGUAAGUUAGAGGUGAAAGCCCGGGGCUCAACUCCGGAAUUGCCUUUAAGACUGCAUCGCUCGAAUUGUGGAGAGGUGAGUGGAAUUCCGAGUGUAGAGGUGAAAUUCGUAGAUAUUCGGAAGAACACCAGUGGCGAAGGCGACUCACUGGACACAUAUUGACGCUGAGGUGCGAAAGCGUGGGGAGCAAACAGG